CAACAUAGCCUGGAAACUAUUACUCUUCGCCUUGCAUUGAAGGUAUUACUUUCCCCUCAAGCUUGUCAAUGUGAUCAGUCUUAUCCAAGCAAAUAUUUUUAUGAAAAUAUUUAGCAUCAAAGAAUUCUUGAAGAUUGAAUAUCCACAUAAUAUACAUUUAAUUCAUGGAAACCAUGAGGCAACAGACAUUAAUGCUUUAUUUGGGUUUCGUACCGAGUGCAUCGAGAGAAUGGGAGAACAAGACGGAAUCUGGGCAUGACACCGUAUUAACAGAUUGUUUAAUUGGUU